rnacentral:lncRNA from 1 species
AAAAGCCUCUCAUCUCCUCAAACUGCCCGACCUUUGGGUCAACCUAGCGCCGCCAUUGCACCACCAUGCGUGGUGGUGGGCGUUGCGCAAAGAUGGCGACCUAAUCCCUGGUCCAGGGCUCAGAUCUUUAGACCUCGCUUUCGAAGCCUCUAAAAACGAGUCCGUCGGACUCAAAAGACCGAAGAAAGAAGGGUAUUUCGUACCCCUUUUGGUUCGAUUCCAACACCGGAGAAGAUCUCCGACGACGGGCUUUCGAAACCGGUGAGUACUCUCCCCUUUUCAAUCAAUUCGUUAAAGAAAAAAAGGAAACAAAUAAGAAGGAAUACAACCAAGAACAGAAAAGGGAGAAGAACCAGGAUCCACCUUUUCCUUUUUUGAUCUCGUUUUUUUUAUUGCAAUUGACGUUCCUUUUACAAAGAUAGUGUUUUUUCUGCUUUUAUAUCACAUCUAUUUCUAUUAUUUGCUAUUAUUUGCUACUCUCUGCUUUUUCUGUCAUCUUACAGGCGUUGAUGAGGCUAGGCACGGUGGGUGGCGAUGGGACUAGGCGAACGGCAGAAGGAGGUGUGCGGCGCUAGGCUUGGCUAGGGUUUCAUUUUUCUGAAACCCUAGUUGGAUUUUG